UAAGGAAUAUUGGUCAAUGGAGGCAACUCUGAACCAGCCAUGCCGCGUGCAGGAAGACGGCCCUCUGGGUUGUAAACUGCUUUUUAUCCGGGAAUAAACCUAUCUACGUGUAGAUAGCUGAAUGUACCGGAGGAAUAAGGAUCGGCUAACUCCGUGCCAGCAGCCGCGGUAAUACGGAGGAUCCAAGCGUUAUCCGGAUUUAUUGGGUUUAAAGGGUGCGUAGGCGGCCUGUUAAGUCAGGGGUGAAAGACGGUAGCUCAACUAUCGCAGUGCCCUUGAUACUGAUGGGCUUGAAUUGACUAGAGGUAGGCGGAAUGUGACAAGUAGCGGUGAAAUGCAUAGAUAUGUCACAGAACACCGAUUGCGAAGGCAGCUUACUAUGGUCUUAUUGACGCUGAGGCACGAAAGCGUGGGGAUCGAACAGGAUUAGAUACCCCAGUAGUCCCUGAGCGGGCUGGCAAGGCGCAU
rnacentral:rRNA from 1 species